rnacentral:rRNA from 1 species
GAUGAACGCUGACAGAAUGCUUAACACAUGCAAGUCAACUUGAACUUCGGUUUGGGUGGCGGACGGGUGAGUAACGCGUAAAGAACUUGCCUCACAGCUAGGGACAACAUUUGGAAACGAAUGCUAAUACCUGAUAUUAUGAUUUUAGGGCAUCCUAGGAUUAUGAAAGCUAUAUGCGCUGUGAGAGAGCUUUGCGUCCCAUUAGCUAGUUGGAGAGGUAACGGCUCACCAAGGCGAUGAUGGGUAGCCGGCCUGAGAGGGUGAUCGGCCACAAGGGGACUGAGACACGGCCCUUACUCCUACGGGAGGCAGCAGUGGGGAAUAUUGGACAAUGGACCAAGAGUCUGAUCCAGCAAUUCUGUGUGCACGAUGAAGUUUUUCGGAAUGUAAAGUGCUUUCAGUUGGGAAGAAAAAAAUGACGGUACCAACAGAAGAAGUGACGGCUAAAUACGUGCCAGCAGCCGCGGUAAUACGUAUGUCACAAGCGUUAUCCGGAUUUAUUGGGCGUAAAGCGCGUCUAGGUGGUUAUAUAAGUCUGAUGUGAAAAUGCAGGGCUCAACUCUGUAUUGCGUUGGAAACUGUGUAACUAGAGUACUGGAGAGGUAAGCGGAACUACAAGUGUAGAGGUGAAAUUCGUAGAUAUUUGUAGGAAUGCCGAUGGGGAAGCCAGCUUACUGGACAGAUACUGACGCUGAAGCGCGAAAGCGUGGGUAGCAAACAGG